GAGAGGUGCGAGGGCCACAUGAAAUGGCCUGGAGGGCUGGGUUUGGCCCGCAGGCCUUGUGUUUGACACCUGUGGAGUAGAAUGUCCCGAGAGCUGCACACCAUGCAAACUUUGUACAUCAGAUGAGUAGAAGAAGCCUCAAUCUAACACCCUCCUGGUCAAGUGUUGAUGCGUUUUGCCCCGUUCCCAGGGCCUAGUCACGGACCUCUAUGACUAGGCCCCGCAUGGUGUACGGCUCUUGGGACACUUUUUGCCUCCUAUACAUUGCAAGUAGUUGGGAUGGACUCUCCACCCAGUCAGCACAAUCGGCAGAACACACCAGACUUGGCUGUAUAAGCCAGAUCAGGGACCCGAAGCUUUUAUUCGGUUCACAGAACCUUUUCUUUUUUUAUAUAUCACAAGGAAAGGACCUAGGCUUUUCUUCCAUGUAGUUUGUCCUAUCCUAAGGUAAAGGUGACGAUAUGGGACAGACUAUAUUUUCUGUAUUUGGAGAGACCAGGAAGAAUUAUCCAGUAACUCCUGGACAGUUGUAGCUAUAUUAAUGUUUUGUAGUGCAUCAUCUACCUUCUUAUGCCAGAUUUUUACGUACAACUUAUACUGCUCGUAAAUCCUUGAUAUAUAGUUGUCUAUGGUCUUGAGAAGCGGACAAAUUAAAAAGCGGACUACUUGCAGUAAUAAGCCAUAAUAGCUGAUUAACUGUGUCUGGAUCUUGAUUUUGUAGGCAAGUCAACAAUCCACCUAUUUUGGCCUGCAACCCCAAUGGCCCGUUUGCAAAUCAGAUAUAAGGAAAAAAGUAAGCGCUUGUGCCAAACUCAAUGUGAUCACACCAACUUAAUUGCUCAAAGUGGGAAAAGAAACGUAACAAAUUGUACACAGAGGGAUGAUAAAAAUAAUGACUUGAAAUGAGUUCAUAAAGAACAACUUUAGAAGGCAGACCAGUGGAAGAAUACGAAGAGUCUUCUGGGGUAGCUAGGGAUGAGACACAGGCAGAACUCGAAGUAUAGUAAAUCAAGGGAUUUUUUUUAAUUUCACGUGUAAACACAAUGGAAAGAUCAUAACAGGCAUGUAGGCAUAGUUUGCCAAACGUCCGGCAAGUCUGUGCCUCCGUAAGGUGAUGGCUGUGGUCUCUGUGGGCAGGCAGCGCCGGUGAUAGCUGUCACUUCCUGUCUCUGGAACGCACACGGAGGGAGCCAGGGUGAUGUCACUUCCGGAUUGUAGGGAGCCAAUAGGCGACGCGUUUACGGAGCAUUCGCUUCUUCUUCAAGCCUCCUUCUGUUUGCAAAUCAAUGGUUCUUAUGUAUGUUCAGGACCAUGCUAGCCUUUGGUUUGAGGCAAAAGUGGACCCAUCCUUUAAAAAGUGUCUGUAGCAGGAACUGAAGCUGGUUUGGGAUAGAGGGAACUCCUGACCUGCGUAUUGUGGCAGCAGUGGGUUUUCUCUUUCAGAUCUCUGUUCCUUUUCAAUAAAGAUAUUUGGGAGUGUCCAUUUUUGAUUAAAUUAUCCAUUCUGCAAGGGCUAGUGAUGUCCCCAGUAGCCUAUGUAGCUCAAGCGGGCUCAUUGGCCUAUUCGCUCCUUGGCUUUUUACAUGCUUUCAUCCUCUUCAUUCCUACACAAUGUUCUUUUCUUUUUUUUUUAUGUUUUCAAAGGUUCAUGCCUCUUGAAAUAACUCAAUGUAUGAUUAACCAGCUGCUGUUUCAAAAAGAGCAAAGGAGAAAAUAAUUUUUUGGGCUAGGCUGCUGAAAAAUCCAUUAACUAGCACCACAUCCCUUAAUAAAUACAUAAUAAAAAAGCAGGAUUUGUGGGACUUUAAAGGCGCAAGAAAAAACUAAAAAUAUAAAGUUAUUAAGUUAAAAUUUUGGAAUGAAUACAUAAGGUAACAUUUAAAUAUCGACCACUGAUAUUUUGUGCCUGAUGUCAAAGUUCUCCAGAAGAAGCCACAAUGGCGAAACAUGUAGAGACUAAUCAGAUGUGCACCUUUGUUUGUAUAUUUCAAUGAUCCGAUAUUUGAAUGUUAUCUUAUGUAUUAAUUCCAAAAUGUUAACUUUAUAUUUUUUGUUUUUUCUUGCGCUUUUAAAGUCCCACAAAUCCUGCUUCCUUAUUAUGUUUCAUAAAGAAGUAAACGUGAAGGUGUCUGGCAUGCGAUUCUGUAAUUAGAAGGCCCAUGCUGCAAAAUUCUCCCAUCAAUCUGAACCCUCCUGGCAAACUAUAUACACAUAAUAGGAGGCCAUAUCCAACAGAUGUUGCUGCUCCAUGGAUAAGCUGGUCAUGCAUUCUCUGCUAGAAGUUCAGGGUCACAAUUCAGAAAGUUUGACUAAAGGGUUGAUGAAGCCUCACAAUUAGCCUAUUCCAGAGGAUAAGCUGGCUCAGCGGUAUAGUAGUUUAAAUAUGCCAACUUGUUUCGGCCACUAGGCCUUAUUCAUGAGUCGUGAUGGGGAAUUGUAGUUCCUGAACAACUGGAGGGUCGUAGUUUGAAGACUUACGCUUUAACCUAUCCCCUAAUGCUGUCCCUACAAGAAAUGACAUCAUUCUGGAUUUACCAGCUCCCUAGAAGAUGUUGAGACUUUCUCUGUAGGACACAUAGGUCAUGGGCAAAAAGUGGGAUAUAAAAUUAUGUAAUUGGCUGAUAUCCACCAGCGGAAUUUUUCAUUUUUUUCUAUUUUUUUUAUGAAAAUCAUCACUUCUCAAUCAAAUGGCCCCUUUGGUGCCUUUGAAUCUUGAAUAACGCCUUCUUUAAACAAUCAUAUCUAAUGAUCGCGUUACAUUUGUGACCAGUGCAACCUCACCAUUACACUUCAAAAUUGUAUACGGUCAUGGUGAUAAAUCCUAUAUUAUUACAGGCGUAUUGGCAGCAAAAAUAAAAUUUUAGGGAAAAAAAGCAAUCAACAAUUUGUCAAAUUUUUUCGAAGGACAGCAUUACCCCAAUCAAACUGAACUGAUAGUGACGUAUAUCAUCUGUAUAUAAUGAGCCAAGAGUGUUGGGGUAGUUAAUAUAGCACAUGUCCACUGUGAAGGAAACCUAGGCUGAAAGGAAUAGUUAGAGCGCCACUGCUGGCUGCCUCCUGAAUAUGCUAGUUGCCUGGCUCUCUGGUUUUAAUACCUCGAGUCACUGAGCUGUAGCAAGUAUGCUCAGAAACCAGCCAUACGCCUUAUGGGUAUAAGUCUUCAGGUCCAUGAUUCAUAAUCAUAAAAAAAAUUAACACCACAAGUCGAGAAUUAAGUGGUUCUAAAGUCAGAAUUUUUUUUUACCCUAAUGCAUUCAUUGCAUUAAGGUUAAACAUGUCCCAGUAGCUUAUCUUCCCCUUUCCCCAAACACUAACCUGAGUCCUCAACCCAUCCAGGGCUAUUCCCUUCUGAAUCGGUUCUCUCCAAAGGUUGGACUUCAUACUAGGGUUGUCCCGAUACCACUUUUUUAGGACCGCGCCGUGUAUAGACACUCCCCCUUUCUCGGGAUUGGACAGAUCCGUCCAAUCCCGAGCAAGGGGAAGUGUCUAUACACGGCGCAGCGGGGAUUACAACUAUUUAAACGAAAGCUGCCUGUAAUGUUCCCCGCACGCUGGGGGGGGGGGGCAAGUAUUCUACAAGUACAAGUACUCCUGCGCAAAUACUCGGUCCCGAUACCGAUACUGGUAUCGGUAUCGGGACAACCCUACUUCAUACCCAUCUCGUGCACAUCUGGGUCCAGUGCUCUACCAACUAGGUUAGUGACUCUGGAAGUAUUGAGGCCAUUGGAUUACAAUGACAGCCGGACAUCUGGCACUUUCAGAAAAGGUCCACAAUGACGGGCUGUGUAUUCUCUCAUUACAAGUUUCCAUUAGAGGUGAAAGCAUUUGAUUUCGCAGAGACUGAUCAAAAAAAGGGAACCCUUCCACCACGAGUAGAUGUUACUGUUUGAGAAAACAAAGACUAUAUCGCAAUCUUUGCUUCCAGUAGCAGUCAAUAAAGCUGAUCCUUUGUUUUUUCCUCGUGCUGCACAGAAAGGAAAAAAAAAGAAAAUUCCCGUUGCUAUUGGUAACUGAGACAGUUCAUCCUUCAGACAGUUUAAUAAAGAGGCCAUUGGUUUGUGAGGAAGGAGAAAGCUGUGACAGCUGUGGGUGGUUUGGCAGUCACUUUGGCCAGUUUCUGUUCCUGAUCUUCGAUUUACGGCAACCUAGAUCCUCACCGGUAAUAAAAGCGGAAUUCUACAUUUUUAGAUAUAUAAGAGGGAAAGCUUGGCAUCUUUUCUAAUGAAGCCUUUGUUUCAAGCCAGUAUAGCAUUUGUAACUCUGUAUAUUUUCGUUAGAUAUUAUUAUAUAUUCUUUUUAAUUUUAGAUUUUUUUUUUUUUAAUAUUAUUGUAUGAUUAAAUAUCUUGAAAUAUGUAUUUUUUUUGUUAUAUUUUUCAAAUUAUCAAUCAAUGCACAGGGGUUUCGUUAAAGUGUAUGCGUGGUCUAUGCGAAGUGGAGGCAGCCAUCUUGUCACGGAUCCAAGGUUUAACCCAAUGUGUUUGUUAGUAACGUUGGGCCUUGUGUAUCAGAAUAGUCUAUGGAAAUCAUAAAAACCAAUCCAUUCCAGACUUCAUUUUUUUAUUGAAUGUUACUUAGAAAGUUAAAGAUUGGAAUCAAAUUGUUUGCCAUGAGCAUCACCACCCAUUUUCUUUUUGAACACCCCAUUCAUAAUGGCUUCCUCUGCUGUACUUAGGUUAAGAAUGCACUUUAAAAAAAGUUUAAUCAAAACACAACGAAUAGUGGAUUAUAUAAAUGAGAUGUGCAGGACCAAAGUGAUGCACUUGUUGAGUCUUUUGAAUGAAGCAUCUUUCAAAUAAAAGUCUGUAUAGUAUUUUAAA